GACGAACGCUGGCGGCGUGCUUAACACAUGCAAGUCGAACGGUAAGGCCCUUCGGGGUACACGAGUGGCGAACGGGUGAGUAACACGUGGGUAAUCUGCCCUGCACUUCGGGAUAAGCCUGGGAAACUGGGUCUAAUACCGGAUAUGAGCUUUCACCGCAUGGUGGGGGUUGGAAAGUUUUUCGGUGCAGGAUGAGUCCGCGGCCUAUCAGCUUGUUGGUGGGGUAAUGGCCCACCAAGGCGACGACGGGUAGCCGGCCUGAGAGGGUGAUCGGCCACACUGGGACUGAGACACGGCCCAGACUCCUACGGGAGGCAGCAGUGGGGAAUAUUGCACAAUGGGCGAAAGCCUGAUGCAGCGACGCCGCGUGGGGGAUGACGGUCUUCGGAUUGUAAACCCCUUUCAGUAGGGACGAAGCGCAAGUGACGGUACCUGCAGAAGAAGCACCGGCCAACUACGUGCCAGCCGCCGCCGUAA
rnacentral:rRNA from 1 species